CCCCUCGGUUUCUUUGAAAUGAACCCGCAGUCCAAGUUAGAAAACAUCUGGGCCAAAGCCAGUCGAGUGCCGCCCGCCCGUACGCCGCUCCGCAGCCACGCGCCCGAGGUCGAGCUCCCGAGCGCGCCGCCGCCUCGACCUCGCGACCCGCCGGCGACCGGAUCCUCGCCGAAGAUGAGUGCCUCCGUGCCCUGCUCCCUCCUCUCUUCCUCUGUCUCCUCUCACCUCGCUCAUCCCCCGAUCUCUCUGUCCCCAGAACGAACAGGAGCAUGCCAUGGCCUCGGAUCCGCGCCGCCGUCGCCGGAGAACAUCGUUCGCCACCGGUUCUUCGACCACAACUACCGGAUCAAGUUGCCCCGCCUCCGAUCUACCCGUUCCCGGCCACCCCAACCUCGCCUCGUCGUCGGGCGCGUAGAGAGACGGCCAUGACCGCCGGAUUCCCGAGCGCCGCCGGCCAAGGUCUUGGAGGAGACCGUCGAGGUCUUGGAGGGGUGGUUCUGGAGCACAAGCUGCGGCGAGUUGUCGGCUAUGUGACAGAGGAGACCCCCGAGGUCUUGCAAGGGUGGUUCUGGAGCGAAGUGGGAUGUGUGUCAGGUGAAGGACUCCCUUGUGGCGAACGGCGCUGGGUGCUAUCAGCUGAGAAGGCUUCAGGCCGGACCAUGGAUGGUGCAGCGGGUGAGAGUUGGGGCAGACGGCGAGUGCGGUGGAUGCGGAUGCCGCCUAGGUUCUGUUGAUAUCGACAUGGAGGAUACAUAGAGUUUGCUGACUCUAUUUCUGGGUUGGCCCUUGAGAGGGAAACCAAGGCAAAAUUCAGCCAAUUUCAGAUAGCAGAUGAAAGGACAAGGGUGAAGAAGUCAAGCUAUUGGAGAGGUCAAUUGAGGAGAUCGGAAGUACUUUAUGUGCUUUCAAAAGUAUCUUUAUUCAGUUUGAGUGGAUUUUGUGGCCUAACUUCCAGACUAGCACUUUGGAAGAAGUUAGAAUUUCUGUUAAUACGACUUUAGUUUAGCCUGACUGAAAUAAGGGGCAAUACUUAAUUUUGUACUGUA